rnacentral:rRNA from 1 species
UGGGGAAUUUUGGACAAUGGGCGAAAGCCUGAUCCAGCAAUGCCGCGUGUGUGAAGAAGGCCUUCGGGUUGUAAAGCACUUUUGUCCGGAAAGAAAUCCUUGGCUCUAAUACAGUCGGGGGAUGACGGUACCGGAAGAAUAAGCACCGGCUAACUACGUGCCAGCAGCCGCGGUAAUACGUAGGGUGCAAGCGUUAAUCGGAAUUACUGGGCGUAAAGCGUGCGCAGGCGGUCCGCUAAGACAGAUGUGAAAUCCCCGGGCUUAACCUGGGAACUGCAUUUGUGACUGGCGGGCUAGAGUAUGGCAGAGGGGGGUAGAAUUCCACGUGUAGCAGUGAAAUGCGUAGAGAUGUGGAGGAAUACCGAUGGCGAAGGCAGCCCCCUGGGCCAAUACUGACGCUCAUGCACGAAAAGCGUGGGGGAGCAAACAGGAUUAGAUACCCUGGUAGUCCACGCCCUAAACGAUGUCAACUAGUUGUCGGGUCUUCAUUGACUUGGUAACGUAGCUAACGCGUGAAGUUGACCGCCUGGGGAGUACGGUCGCAAGAUU